UUCAAAACCACAAGUACAUCCAAGGGCAGCCAAGACAACAAGAAAGCCAAGAGAUACAGUCUCUGAAAGAGAAGACCAGUUCCCCCUUCCAGAACUGCCUUAUGCCUGGCUCUUAGCAACCAAGGCUCUACUCUCCCCAGAGGGGGUGUCUGAGGCCUUGGACUCAGACAGGAGAUUGACGGCUUCCAUGCAGGAAGAGCUCAGAGGACGCUCAUAGCUGGCACCAACAUUCUCAGGAGGCUGUCUGAGGGGCACAGUGUUGAAGGAAGCCCCUAUAGGACUUUCUGGGUUCUUACGCUAGUGCGGUUAUCCACCAAGGGGUCCGUGAUUAAACAAAAUAAAGGUUACUUCAACACAACCACAACCAUACCACGAGACAAGAGGGCUGCCAAGUAACUUAACAGCUGCUAGAAUGUCUUCAGUGCCAGACCCCGGUGGGCUGCCCAGUUGAUGAGGCCGAAUUUUUCACGACCCUUCUUUAGGUCUUCCAGAGAGAUCUGCAUGGACUUAGCAACAAGACCAAAAGGGCAAACAUGUCCCAGAGUUGUUGGAGGUAUAUGAGCAUUUUACUAUUUCAGACAACUGAAGGAGACAGAAAAGGACUAAUCCUCCAAAAAGUUGUUAGUAAGGAAAGUCAUCAUCUCAGCAAUAUCAGAGAAGAUGUUAUACAUCGUUAGAUAACUGGUGCACAUAUUUCCACCACACUGAAAAUGAUAAGAACAGGCGGAGAUUACUGGAAUUCUUCAGCUGCUAGAAUGUCUUCAGUGCCAGACCCCAGCUGGGCUGCCCAGAUGAUGAGGCCGAAUUUUUCAGGCAAAGACCUGAUGCUUAUAAAUAAAUCAACGUACUGUAAUUAAUGAAGACAGCCCAAAGUUAGGGGUCAGGAGAUGGGCCAUUCUUCCAUACAUCAGUGGGCUCAGCUGCAGAGCAGAGCCACUGGAAUAGCGACUCCACAUGCAUUGUUCCCUAGACGGAUCAGGAACCUGUCUGCCACCAGCAGAGUUACACAAUACCCACUGGGUUCCUGUAAAAUGAGAAUAAAAAAGAAAGGGGAAGCAGAGAGGCAGAGGGCAAUGGUGUAGAAAGAGCAUGAAA